CUUGGCGGCCGUAGCGCGGUGGUCCCACCUGACCCCAUGCCGAACUCAGAAGUGAAACGCCGUAGCGCCGAUGGUAGUGUGGGGUCUCCCCAUGCGAGAGUAGGGAACUGCCAGG
rnacentral:rRNA from 1 species